CCCUUCCAUGUCCACCACCUUCAUCUCCACCCCCACCUCCACCAUCUCCACCACCAGAAUCAAGUACAAGAACAGAUCUGCAGAUUUUCCCCGAANACCUCCACCAUCUCCACCACCAGAAUCAAGUACAAGAACAGAUCUGCAGAUUUUCCCCGAAUUCUGGCAAUUUUCACCAAUUUUUGCAACACAGAUCACUAAAUUGUAAAGAGAAUAUCACUAAAUUGUACUGAGAAUAUCACUAAACCUAAUUAGUUUUUAGUUUUUAUUUUAAGGGUGG
rnacentral:lncRNA from 1 species